CUCUUGUAUGAAAGAGAGAAGAGAUGCAUUCCUUUGGACACGACUGGAGGAGGCCUGGACAACACACACACAUAUAGUUAAGGCAUUGUCACGUACUUGGUGGCAUCUGAACAUGGUUUUGA